GUUUACUGUCCAACAGGAUGAGCAUAUUGUUAUCAUCCUCAGACACUCCGAUAAUUGUCAGCACCGCUUCGAGGAUCUGGCGCUCAACGAUCUGGUGAAAAAAAGAAAAGAAAAAAAAAAACAUCCACACUUAGGGUUAAGUCGUAUAGUUUGAGGAGUCAAAUUUGCCUCCUCCAUUGGGCUGAAUUUUUGCCCUUAGGUGGCUGAUCUCCACCUUAUCCCCGACGUACAGGUCCAUCAACGCCUCUUCUCUCCACAAAGUUACCUCCAGGAGUUUUGUUCCAGACCUCAAAGAAAGGUCCAGGAGGGGAUACUGGGCCCGAGUCAUCCUGGCCACUUGCAACUGGAAAACAACAGCCCAGUGUCACAGAUGAGUGUAUCUCAGCCCUGGUUCAGACUCAGGUACCCAGGUCUUGUGAAGAUCUCCUGUUCUUCCCCGGUUACAAAUGGGGAAGGAGGAUAGAGGACCUCUUUAGCAGCUCUCUCUGCAUCCUCGGUUAUGGCCAAUGGAGAGGUUUUAAAUUUCCUGCUGGUCCGGUUUAAAAAAAUACACUGCCGGCCAUAUUGUUUUGAGAGGGUAUAAUUUUUUAUGAUAUAUGACCCACCCUCUUCAAACUCUGGGUCACUUCCAUUUUUUAUUGAGGUGUACCAUGUUUGUCCAUCAGUGAGGGCUGACAGUGUGGUCACCUUGUAUGCGCCAACAUCAAUUAUAUUGUCUUUUGUGACAAAAUUUAAAGCCUUUUGGCUCCUGCGGCUACCCACACACUUCACUUUCAGCGGUGCUUGCUGACUGUAGGGGGUUGCCAUCCUAAGAAUAAUACAAAAAAGGUAUGGUUAUAACUUUCACAAUGUUUCUAUUGACUUUAUAAAACAUGAAAAUAUAAUUCAUGACCUGUAUAUAUAGCCUACUUAUAACAUGUUAUUACUAAUUUACUAUUUAUAUAUUUUUCUUUCCAUAUUUCUAUUACUGUACUUUAUUGCAUAAUAUCUUUUUUUUUCGUUUUCUUUAUAGUGUUUCAUUAAUUUGUGAAAUUAUCUUUUUUUUUUUACUUCAUAUUUCACAGGAAUGUAUUUCAAAAAUACAAUCUAAUGAAGUAAAAUUUCUAAUGAAGUAAAGUUUUACCUCAGAAAAUGAACUCAACCUUAGCCAUAACCCUAUAGACGGCCCCUUUUUCAAUACCUAACAUUUUUUUUUUUUAUAUAAAUAUUUACAUCGCAAGAAAUGUUAAUCAACUUCCAUUUAAUAAGCUAAUCACGCAAAUACAUUGCUUGUGAAAUAAAAAUUUACCUCAGAGAAUUACAUUUCCUGCCAGGAAGGGGAAAACGAGCAGCCUCUGACAGGAUUUAUUUUUUAAACUUCAUACUCUGACAGGACUUCUCUCUUUUUUAACUUAAUAUUUUACAGGAAUCUAUUUAUUUAUUCAUUUAGUUGAUUUAUAUAUUGAAAGUCAUUGAUAAAAUUUCUAAUGAAGUAAAAUUUUUCCUCAGAAAAUGAAAUUUCCUGUCAGAUAAUGGAAAGAGCUUUUUUUCUGACUUUUUUAUUAUUUGUAUUUAUUCAUUUAUUUGUAAAAUAACAUUUCUAAAUACACAGUGUUUAAAAUACAUGUUAUAUCUUCUGUCUCACCUUAUAAUUCAGCAGGGGAACAAUAGCGCCUUCUCUGGUAAGCGGUGGAGAACUGCUGCGGACUGAAGAAGACUGGCUGUGCACGUCUUUUAAGCGGGAAUCCUGCUGCUCGCACCCUUUGUGUGUGUCUCCGGGUGCGCGCGCGUGUUCGUGUUAAUUUCUUUAAAUGAUAAGGAAUUUUAUUUAUAUUAUUUGUUAUUAUAUUCUUUGUGAUUUUAUGAUAUUAUAAGCAACUCCUGCGUUGUCUGUGUGUGCGCGUUUUGAUAAAUAUCUUUUACUUGUAAUUAUUUUUAUUUAUUGUAAUAAAUAUUUUAACUUUGAAUUAAUUGUAUGUAUUGUACUUCAUAUUUUAAACUUUAAUUUUAUUUCAAAUUAAAAAGGCUUUGCACAGUUUUUAACAGACUCUGGCGGAUCUCCUGCUCUUUGUGUGUGAGCUCGCUUUGAUGAAUAUUUUUAACUUGUAAUUAAUUUAAAAUAAAUCCCUAUUAAAUCUGUUUUGCCUGCAAAUGUUAUUAAAUUAACAAUAAAUUACCCUAUUUCAUAUUUCCCCCCUUUUUUGCUGAUUUCUAUCUUGUCUAGUUGAUGCCUAAUGUAUUAAUGAAACAUUUCCGUUUUUUAUUAACUGACUGGGUGCGCGCAUCUCCUGCGCGUGUGUGCGCGGGCGCGUUUUGAUUACAUUUUUUACUUAUUUUUAUUUAUUGUAUUUUUUACUUUUAAUGACUUUUAAAUGUAUUUUGACUAAUUAAACUUGAUUAUAAGUGUAUCAGGGUUUAGUAUUUAAAUGGAAAACGAAUAUAGCAGCCAGCUGGCCAAUGAGACACUGGAACUGCAUAACUAAUGAGCUGUCAAUCAUUGUGGAUUCAUCCGGUCCAGUGGUCCUUCCUUCAGGUGAGUACUGAAAUAUUUCUGAGGUAAUAUUUCAUUUAAAGAUUAUCAAAAUAGGUGUGGGUCAAUGAAUUUGAAGUGGUUAGCUUUAUGUAUUUGUACUAAACGUUUUGUUACUGCUAAAACAUGAAUAAAAUUUACGUUAAGUAUUACGAUAAUUCGUCUCGUGAGGGAACUGCAGGAGAUUCUGUAAUGGUUUCUGUCUUUUUUAUUUUGUCAAAAACAUUAACUGAUGUGCGCAAUGUACGAUAUUUGAUGGAUAAGCAGUAACAAAACGGCAAAUUUACUAUGAAAAAAUAAGUUUCCUCCCGUACGGUCGUGACUAAACAACGUCCCUCGACUUCAAAAGUGGACUUAAUUGGACAAGCAUUGAUGGAUUGUUAUAUGUUUACUUCACAUUUAUUUUGAGAGUGGUAUUAUGUUUACCAAAAAGCAAGGUGAUGUGAGCAUUUUGAAGCGCUAAACAUGAUCAAUGUCUGUUUCAUUCAUACUCGACGCCGGAGGGCGCCCUCGCGCAGCAAGUCCACAGGUGAAGUUGGGAAUAUUCGCACCGAAUCUAGAACUCAAACAACCAUAUGCCUACAACAAGUAAAACAUGACGUAGCUGGCAGCCGCCGGUGUGGGUAGACUAAUAGAAAAUAAUGUGUAGAUCUCUAAAGACACGUCCAGUGACCGCCUCAUACGGAUGUCAUGAAUCUCUCAUAUCGCGGUAAAAUAGAGAUAUUGACUUAUGAACUAUGGAAACAAUAAACAGCCGUUGACAACAAUGGUUUGUCUGUGUUCUUCAAUUAAUCUCAGGUAUUUCCAUAAGAAUGAUGUAUAUUUCUAAUGCAAUGCUAAUGGAUAGUAUGAAUAUAAGAAAUGAUCAUGUGUUAAUGCUCAAGUUUUUACUGCAAUAGCAACUAAAGCUACUUACAAGACAAACUUAAUGCCACUUACACAACUCAUGCUCAUGUCCAUCUGCACCUGUAUUUGACCUAUUUCUUUCUUUUCCUUUUGUGCAAAGAAGCUGUUGCUCCUGCUGUAUCAUUGCGUCCUCUGUGGUUGUGUUGUCCUCCCUACUGCCAAGUGGUCCUCAGAACCUUCUAUAAAAGGGUUGAGGCUGCGUUGGCUGUCUAUGCAAGUAACAUACGCACAACAUGUUAAUUAGACAUAUCUUUAUUUUGAAAUGUACAGUUCUACAUAUUCUGUAGCUUUACAUAGACGUCAUAGCCUUUAAUGUACAAACCUGAUUCCAAAGAAGUUGGGACA